UACGUAGGGUGCAAGCGUUAUCCGGAAUUAUUGGGCAUAAAGCGCACGUAGGCGGUCGCGUAAGUCGGGUGUGAAAGCCCAGGGCUUAACCCUGGAAGUGCAUUCGAAACUGCGCAGCUUGAGUACGGAAGAGGGUCUCGGAAUUCCCGGUGUAGAGGUGAAAUUCGUAGAUAUCGGGAGGAACACCAGUGGCGAAGGCGGCGACCUGGUUCGAUACUGACGCUGAGGUGCGAAAGCGUGGGGAGCAAACAGG
rnacentral:rRNA from 1 species